GCCGCCGUCCAGUGAAGAGAUUUCCACAAAGCAAGCAGCAACACUGAUGUGUGUGGCCAACAAGGGCUUCCCCUCAGACUGGAGUCUGAACUGGAAGGUGGACGGGAUCAGCAGCAGGUCUCAGUACAGCAGUGUUGCUCUCCUGGAGAAGGACGGUCUGUACAGCUGGAGCAGCAGUCUGACUCUCUCUGAGCAGGAGUGGAGCUCAGUGAUCUCAGUCAGCUGUGAGCUCACACAGAAAGACCAGCGUGAUAAAGUCACUGGAGAAUUGAGGAGAGAUCAGUGUUCACAGUAG